rnacentral:tRNA from 1 species
GCGAGGGUGGCGGAACUGGCAGACGCGUACGGCUUAGGACCGUAUGCCACACGGCAUAAGGGUUCGAAUCCCUUCCCUCGCA